rnacentral:lncRNA from 1 species
AUUUUUGGACUCAGUAGAGCAUUUGAAAAUGACAGAUAAAAAAUCUAAUACUAAAAAACAGAAUCAGAAAACUGAUUUUAAAGUCUCAAAUAUCAGAAGCAUAAAAAAGUUAUUUUUUCAAAAUUAAUUCUGAUUUUGAAUUCAAACUUCAAAUUUUUAUUUUUUAUUUUAGAUUCAAAUUAUAAAUUUAAUAUAAAAUUUAAAUUUCAAAAUUUUAAAUUCAUUAUUAAAAUUUUUAAAUAUCAAACUUUCAAAUUUAAAAUUUAAAAAAUUAGAUUUUAAAUUUAAAUUUAAGUUUCAAAUCUCAAAUUUUAAAUUCUAAAAUUCAAAAUUUUAAAAUUUAAAUUUCAGAUAAAAUUUAAAUUUUGACAUUUCAUAUUUUGGAACUUAAAUUUAC